CAUGCUUGUUGGUCUCGUUUCUCCUACUUCUGGAGAUGCUCUGGUGUUGGGAAAGAACAUCUUAACUGACAUGGUAAAUCACCUGUUGAGAUCUUCAUAUUUUGAAAACACUUUGGAGCCUUGCAAUGUCGAUAUCAGCCACUAGGAAUAUGUGUGUGUGUGCGUGCACAACUUUUUGUCCUGUUAAUAUGUGGAGCCUUGAAAUGUCGAUAUCAGCCACUAGGAAUAUGUGUAUGUGUGUGCGUACACAUUUUUUUUGGUCCUGGUCAUCAAACAAUGAAGAACUUGUUUAUUGGAUCGUUAAGCUCAACAAAACUGAUCGUGGUUGUUUGCAUUCUCUUAUUGUUCAUGUUGAGACUCUUUUGUUCAGAACUUCGCUGCAACAAUU
rnacentral:lncRNA from 1 species